GUCUAUUCUACUGAUAUAGAUAUUAAUGGGUUGUAACUAGGUCUAUUCUACUGAUAUAGAUAUUAAUGGGUUGUAACUAGGUCUAUUCUACUAUACUGAUAUAGAUAUUGAUGGGUUGUAACUAGGUCUAUUCUACUGAUAUAUAUAUUAAUGGGUUGUAACUAGGUCUAUUCUACUGAUAUAGAUAUUGAUGGGUUGUAACUAGGUCUAUUCUACUGAUAUAGAUAUUAAUGGGUUGUAACUAGGUCUAUUCUACUGAUAUAUAUAUUAAUGGGUUGUAACUAGGUCUAUUCUACUGAUAUAGAUAUUGAUGGGUUGUAACUAGGUCUAUUCUACUAUACUGAUAUAUAUAUUAAUGGGUUGUAACUAGGUCUAUUCUACUAUACUGAUAUAGAUAUUAAUGGGUUGUAACUAGGUCUAUUCUACUAUACUGAUAUAGAUAUUAAUGGGUUGUAACUAGGUCUAUUCUACUCUACUGAUAUAGAUAUUAAUGGGUUGUAACUAGGUCUAUUCUACUGAUAUAGAUAUUAAUGGGUUGUAACUAGGUCUAUUCUACUGAUAUAGAUAUUGAUGGGUUGUAACUAGGUCUAUUCUACUGAUAUAGAUAUUAAUGGGUUGUAACUAGGUCUAUUCUACUGACAUAGAUAUUAAUGGGUUGUAACUAGGUCUAUUCUACUGAUAUAGAUAUUAAUGGGUUGUAACUAGGUCUAUUCUACUAUACUGAUAUAGAUAUUGAUGGGUUGUAACUAGGUCUAUUCUACUGAUGUAGAUAUUAAUGGGUUGUAACUAGGUCUAUUCUACUGAUAUAGAUAUUAAUGGGUUGUAACUAGGUCUAUUCUACUGAUAUAGAUAUUAAUGGGUUGUAACUAGGUCUAUUCUACUGAUAUAGAUAUUAAUGGUUUGUAACUAGGUCUAUUCUACUGAUAUAGAUAUUAAUGGGUUGUAACUAGGUCUAUUCUACUGAUAUAGAUAUUGAUGGGUUGUAACUAGGUCUAUUCUACUGAUAUAGAUAUUAAUGGGUUGUAACUAGGUCUAUUCUACUGACAUAGAUAUUAAUGGGUUGUAACUAGGUCUAUUCUACUGAUAUAGAUAUUAAUGGGUUGUAACUAGGUCUAUUCUACUAUACUGAUAUAGAUAUUGAUGGGUUGUAACUAGGUCUAUUCUACUGAUAUAGAUAUUAAUGGGUUGUAACUAGGUCUAUUCUACUGAUAUAGAUAUUGAUGGGUUGUAACUAGGUCUAUUCUACUGAUAUAGAUAUUAAUGGGUUGUAACUAGGUCUAUUCUACUGAUAUAGAUAUUAAUGGGUUGUAACUAGGUCUAUUCUACUGAUAUAGAUAUUGAUGGGUUGUAACUAGGUCUAUUCUACUGAUAUAGAUAUUAAUGGGUUGUAACUAGGUCUAUUCUACUGACAUAGAUAUUAAUGGGUUGUAACUAGGUCUAUUCUACUGAUAUAGAUAUUAAUGGGUUGUAACUAGGUCUAUUCUACUAUACUGAUAUAGAUAUUGAUGGGUUGUAACUAGGUCUAUUCUACUGAUAUAGAUAUUAAUGGGUUGUAACUAGGUCUAUUCUACUGAUAUAGAUAUUGAUGGGUUGUAACUAGGUCUAUUCUACUGAUAUAGAUAUUAAUGGGUUGUAACUAGGUCUAUUCUACUGAUAUAUAUAUAUUAAUGGGUUGUAACUAGGUCUAUUCUAC